GAGCUGCACAGAGGACAGUAUUUCAUUAGUGCAAUAGUUAUUUAGAUUAAUAUGUCGCAAUUGAUCAUCUAUUAUCUUAAGAACGUCUUGUUUCCCACCCAGUAGUCUGAAACCAAGGAUAUUCAAUUAAACAUUAUGUAAAACUGAAAAGUAGUAAAUUAUCACGUUUGAAAGGUUAAAGCCAACUGAUGUUUGGCAAAGACUUUAAACUUUGAAUAACAACAUGAUUGGUGAUCAAUGAAUCGUGUCGGCAAUAGUUUUAAUAACCUACUGUACCUGCUUUCUGGACAUUUGACCAGAAGGUAACUCGCUGUGGAGAAAAGUAGCAGAAAGAAAAUCAUGUUAAUUUACCAGUUUAGGAAUCAUGUUGUUUUUUCUGUGAAACUAAUUAUGUUGUUUACUUUUGAGCCUGUGUCUUCUGUGUAAGUACUGGCAGGCGAGAACCAGGGUGAACAGGAAGAUGGACAGCAGGCCCAGUGAGCAGAUCAGCACAGCACACAGGUACACAUCUACACAACAACAACAACAACAAAUAACAACAGCGGCUUUAUCAAGGUACGACUUGUAUUUGGUAAAGUGAAACAGAAGUAGGGUUCGAGUUGAAAACAAUACCUGCAAAUAAACGCCACAGUCCGUCACUGCUACCAGUCUCUAGAGUGAAGUGCACUGGAAAAAUAAACAUUUAAAAAGUCAGUAAAAUAGUACAGUGAGGGUAAAAAAACUGCCCAGACUCUUCCUUGUAAAGUGCUGUUGUCUGAGGGCACUGACCCAACACAGCAGACACCCUCAGUGGUUUCCAGAAAUAUCAAAACUGCACUCAUGAUGGGCGAUUGUGCUGCAUCAUCAGCCAAACCCACCACACACACACACACACACACACACACACACACACACACACACACACACACACACACACACACACACACACACACACACACACACACACAGAGGCCUGCCUGUAUUGCUGUUCUUGGACAGCGUUGGGGGGUUCCCCAUUGCUCUGCAUCUCCACUUCCUAUUGUUGGUUUCUUCACAAUCUUUUAAUGUUGCAAUUUUCCUUUGUGCGGUGCGAAUAAGGAAGUCAUUGUCAGUGUGUGUCAAUGAGUGAUGGGUUGUAUAUAGGUCAGGGGUAUUUAGCAAGAGGCUGAGGAGAGGGAACAAGAGGCUAUGUACAUAAAUUACUUAGUCCCUGCUCCCUGUAAUGACUUUUUAAUAUGUCUUUUAACACAGGUUGAUAAACAUAUUAAUAAGAAAUUAUAAGAUAUGAACUCGUAAUUGACUUCUAGCUUGUUUCCAGACUGCUGAGCCGCCUGCAGAAUUGUUAAAUGUGGCACACUGUUAUUUUUCAAGAUACUGCUGUGUGAUUAGAUCUUCACACACCUAAUUUUUUCUUAAAUACGUAUCGGGUCUAAGAAAUAAGACUGGUUUGAUUAUAAUAGGGAGGCUUGAUAAGAAUGCAGUGAAAUACCAGAGCUCUGCAAUUAUUUUUCUAAAUGUUUGAUGUACAUUUUUUUAAUGAGACUUGCUGCAAUAAUAAGCGAGCUUAUCUAUAACCUUUUAGUGGACUGCAUUGCAUGGUGUUCCACUUACUAUGCCUUAUUGCUGUUUAAAACCAAAUGAAAAGUAAUGACAGACAUUUAAGGAAGACAAAUUGUCUGAUGAGGUGACAGGCUACAUUUCACAGGCAUCUCUUGACAAUGUGAGCAGUUAACAGUUAAUGUAAGUAAACCACAUAUCUAACCUUUACCCCGCGGUUAACCACAUGCUAAACCCCCACAUCUGAUCAGUGAACGCAGCCCCAGGUUAACGUGUUGGGAGCUAUUAAAGCACACACUCUGCACAGAUGUGUCUACACAAGCUCAAGUUAAUUCAAAGAAAAAUAUACUGCACAGGUAUUCAGAAAGGCUGAAGAAACAUCAGGUACAGAUUUAGGCUCAUCUGCUUCCCCCCAUCAGUCCAGCUGUGAAGAAAGGACGCAGACAAAUGUAACAUCCACCGAAGACCGGCAGAUUCAAGAAAACUGAGCUUCACAAUCAGAAACUGAGAGGCCUCGAGUGCUGGAGGAGAAGGGGACGGAGAGGAGAGAGGAGGUGCGAGAGUGGGAGCAGCAGGAGGAGAAAAGAACCAGCGGAGGAUGAGGACGCUGCCGCUCCUCUUCCUCUGAGACACCAUGCAGGACAGGGUCACAUUGUCUUUCUCUGUUACCAUCACAACAGGCCCGGGGGUCACCGUCACAUUAAGGCCAUGACAGACCUCUGUUUACAAAAGACACAAGCAGGACACAUGUGGUUCCUUGGAGCAGUGAGGGUGUUUGUCCGGACUGCUGCCCAGGGACAGGACCUUGGUGGCCGGGCUAGGACUGGAGCUGUCCCCCCCUCUCCCCAGAGCGACGGGCACCUCGAUGGGGGGACCCACUGUGGGCCUCGCCAGCCCAGCUGAGCCCAUGCCGACUCCAGACAGGACCCCCAUGCCGGCCCCGGGCCCCCCGUUCGCCGCACUGAGCAGGUUGGCAGACUGCAGCACAGCCUCCGAGUGCUCGCGGGCCUUCAUUCGCAGGGCGGCUACACUGGCUGUGCGGUUUCCCUGACAACCGUAGGGAGGCAGGAAGGACAAGCCCAUGGGGUCAGAGACACAGCAGGAGCAUAAGCCAUUACCUGAAAAACAACCAAAGUGGGACUUGUGUGUGGCGACCUGUGAGAGGGCCUGGGCGUAGGUGGCAGAGUUCAGGAGUGUGCCUGGUAUACAAGAUGGGAAGAACGGACCACUUGGACCCACUGUCCUGUUCAUACUGGGAAAAAAAGGCAUACUAUUUUAAAUUAUCUUGUGAAGAAAUAAAAUUGACAAAUUAUUCUAUUAAUACA